rnacentral:rRNA from 1 species
GGGGUGCAGCAGGCGCGAAACCUCUGCAAUAGGCGAAAGCUUGACAGGGUUACUCUGAGUGAUUCCCGCUAAGGGAAUCUUUUGGCAUCUCUAAAAAUGGUGCAGAAUAAGGGGUGGGCAAGUCUGGUGUCAGCCGCCGCGGUAAUACCAGCACCCCGAGUGGUCGGGACGAUUAUUGGGCCUAAAGCAUCCGUAGCCGGUCUUGCAAGUCCUCCGUUAAAUCCAGCUGCUUAACAGAUGGGCUGCGGAGGAUACUACAAGGCUAGGAGGCGGGAGAGGCAAGCGGUACUCAGUGGGUAGGGGUAAAAUCCUCUGAUCCAUUGAAGACCACCAGUGGCGAAGGCGGCUUGCCAGAACGCGCUCGACGGUGAGGGAUGAAAGCUGGGGGAGCAAACCGGAUUAGAUACCCGGGUAGUCCCAGCUGUAAACGAUGCAGACUCGGUGAUGGGCCGGCUUUAUGCCAGCUCAGUGCCGCAGGGAAGCCGUUAAGUCUGCCGCCUGGGGAGUACGGUCGCAAGACUGAAACUUAAAGGAAUUGGCGGGGGAG